rnacentral:lncRNA from 1 species
AGUUGGUCACAACGAAAUACUUGUACUCAGUCGCAGCAUAGCUAAAAGCAGCUUUGGGACCACCGGUACGAGCCUCUUUCACAAAGUUUUGAGCUUUCUCUGUUGCCUUGUAGAUCAACACAUGAGCUUGAUUCACCACUUGUUUAGCCAUUGGAGGAGCGUGCUCAUCAAACUUAUACGAAACUUCACCUACCUAGAAAAGUAAAUAAAGGUUAGAACUUUAGCCACAAAACUAACAACUAAACACGAUCUGGUUUCUAAAUUAGGUCGGAGAUCCAUCAAACAAUAAAUCUAAUAAUUGGGUUACCUUGUGAUCUAGAAAGACGAGGAGAGAAUCUGGAACAUCUUUGAAUUUCUGAUAGACAGGGGUGACGACGGUGGUGACGGCUCCUUCCACCU